UUCUGGAUCUGAGUCAUGAGGAAGGCUAAAGAGCUGUCAAAAGAUCUAUGGGAAAAGUCACUGAAUGGGAAUUCCAUUCUGUCUGGAUUAACUGCAGCUAACAGGAAAUUCAAGCCAUGAGCUCCAAUUCACAGCUGAAGGAUUUACAACUACUGACACUAAAGGAGCCAUCUGGGUCAGUGUCUUACUGACAAAACAUUAUUGAUGGAUUUGUGGGCAUUACGCCAUUUAUUCAUAAAAAUGUGCCUUUUAAAUGUUCGCAAUAAUUAAAUUAUAAUGGUUGAUCUGCCUCCCAAACGGAAGCAAUGACUUAGUUCAGCUAAAUUUUUAGUUUUGGAGAUUCUAGGAACAACCGGAACUCUGAAAAAAUUGCUUUUAAAACUGCCGAACAAACUGAUGCUUUUGCUUGCAGUUCUCCAAAAGUCCACUAGAUGGCAGCAGAGAGCUGCUGUAUAAAUCCAUCCAGAAACCUGCACUGACGUGGAGGCACCACGUGGGUGCAGUGGGCUUCUGUGAGCUUCAGCUGCUUCUUUCUUCAGCAGUUGUUCUGUGUAAAUCGUCAACACAAACAUUUAAGACUUUGAUCACAUCCUCCUUUUUUCUACCCCGCAGAAUAAAUCCCAUUAUGUGCAGCAUAACAGGAAGACUGGGGCUUGGAUUUGUUGCAGGCCAAGAACUUGGCAGCAGCAGAUGCACACUCAGCAAUGUGAUGGGAGUUUUGUAGAUGAGGAUUUGCAGCACAUUGUGUGUUUGGGUUACUGCAUGGGUCAGCAGUUCUGGAGGAGAAUCAGGACACUGGCCCUCAUCUCUUACUACCUCAUGAAAUAUGCAUGCCCUGUGAGAGUGUGAGCCGUGUGCAGGAAACUCUUGUUGCUGCUCUUUUCUCUGAUCAUCAAAAACAAAGUAUUUAUCUGCCUUUGAAGCAGUUCUGCACAUUAUUGUUCUGUAAAUUUGUGGCGGCCCUUUCAACCUUAGGCCCGUUUGAGGAAAUCAGACGUGUUCCAGUUCACUUUUUUGAGCGAGGUCAGAGGUCACUUUUGUAAAUUUUGUCGAUAGGACUUCAGGCACACGAUGUUCCAGUUCCAUCUCCAUUGUUUGCACAAAGUGUGAUGACAUCAUGUCAGGUGUAUUUAGCAGGUAGGACACGGAUCAUUUGAAUAGUAAUACAGCCGUACAAAGCCAUGAUUUUCCUGGAA